rnacentral:lncRNA from 1 species
AUGGAUGCUGUCGAUCGAGGGGAGGGUCGUAAUCCCACCUGGUGCUCACAUGGCGGACUUCACCACUGCCUUGGCCGCUCUCUUCGACUGUUACUAUGUAUUCAACCUAGAGUAUUAGGUGGAAGCCAGCACAACACUGGAGUUUGUUCAGAGGGCUUCAACUAGGAUUCUAGGUCUCCAAGGUCAGGGCAUGCAAGAGGCCAUAGACCUUUGUCAAGUGGCAGGGGAAGUUUAUUUUCCUUUCUGUUUUAAAUGUUCCUGCAAAUGUUAAAUAUUUUAUUUUUUAAUGUUCAGUGUUUUAUUUUAUGUCAUUAUUGCCAUAGUGUUAUUUAUUGCUCUUUAGAAUGUGGUAAUAAACAGUUAUUUGCACAGCUUCAAAAGUAGUUCAAUUUUUUGACCGUAUUGUAUUGCAUUAAUGUUCCGUCAUAGCAACCAGUCACGUGGAACUAGUGAAUGAACUAGUAACAGUUUGCUCUGUAACUUUACAAAACUUGUAAUGAAAUAGCCUCAUUUUGUAAAAUUUUCUUCAGUCGUAAAUUAAAUUUAGCAACAGUAGAAUAAGAGGAUAAUAGACUUCAUGCCAUUAGAAAUUACAAACAUAGAAUGUGCGUUAACUUUGGAUGGUAUAAUGGCAUGUUGUCCAAUGUCCAUUAUCCCUAUAUGUUGUACCUGUUUUGUCAUUCCUGUUCACCAAAUGUUUUUAAAAUAAAUAACUGUUAACAAUUUUCUUAUUGUCUGCAGUUGAUUGCAGUGUUUUAGAAUAUGGGUGAUUCUUUUAAUGAUGGCUAAUAUUAAAAUCACAGUGAUACAGUAUUUAAAUUGUACAGUGAGAAACUGAAUUUACAGUGAUUAACUGUUAUCUACUGUUUAUAGUACUGUAUUGCAUACAAUACAUAAAAAACAGUGCUUAACUUUUUUGUAUGUAAAUGCAAUUGAAAUCACAGUAUUUAUUUUUUUCUUCUACAGUAAAACAAUCAAUUAAAUCACAGUAUUUAAUUGUUUUUGAUUUCACAGUGUAUGCAUAAAAUACUGUAAAUGGAAGUACAGUACCCUUACUGUAAAAAGUAUUCACAGUAACUUACUGGCAACAAUUAGCCAGUAAGUUACUGUAAAUACAACUAAAAUCACAGUAUUUAAUUG